rnacentral:rRNA from 1 species
CUACGUGCCAGCAGCCGCGGUAAUACGUAGGUCCCGAGCGUUAUCCGGAUUUAUUGGGCGUAAAGCGAGCGCAGGCGGUUAGAUAAGUCUGAAGUUAAAGGCUGUGGCUUAACCAUAGUACGCUUUGGAAACUGUUUAACUUGAGUGCAAGAGGGGAGAGUGGAAUUCCAUGUGUAGCGGUGAAAUGCGUAGAUAUAUGGAGGAACACCGGUGGCGAAAGCGGCUCUCUGGCUUGUAACUGACGCUGAGGCUCGAAAGCCAGGGGAGCGAACGGGAUUAGAUACCCCGGUAGUCCUGGCCGUAAACGAUGGGUACUAGGUGUAGGAGGUAUCGACCCCUUCUGUGCCGGAGUUAACGCAAUAAGUACCCCGCCUGGGGAGUACGACCGCAAGGUUGAAACUCAAAGGAAUUGACGGGGGCCCGCACAAGCGGUGGAGUAUGUGGUUUAAUUCGACGCAACGCGAAGAACCUUACCAGGUCUUGACAU